AUUGAACGCUGGCGGCAUGCCUUACACAUGCAAGUCGAACGGUAACGCGGGGCAACCUGGCGACGAGUGGCGAACGGGUGAGUAAUGCAUCGGAACGUGCCCAGUAGUGGGGGAUAGCCCGGCGAAAGCCGGAUUAAUACCGCAUACGACCUACGGGUGAAAGCGGGGGACCGUAAGGCCUCGCGCUGUUGGAGCGGCCGAUGUCGGAUUAGGUUGUUGGUGGGGUAAAGGCCUACCAAGCCGAAGAUCCGUAGCUGGUCUGAGAGGACGACCAGCCACACUGGGACUGAGACACGGCCCAGACUCCUACGGGAGGCAGCAGUGGGGAAUUUUGGACAAUGGGGGCAACCCUGAUCCAGCCAUGCCGCGUGCGGGAAGAAGGCCUUCGGGUUGUAAACCGCUUUUGUCGGGGAAGAAAUCUUCUGAGCUAAUACCUCGGGAGGAUGACGGUACCCGAAGAAUAAGCACCGGCUAACUACGUGCCAGCCGCCGCCGUAAGAC
rnacentral:rRNA from 1 species